rnacentral:rRNA from 2 species
GAUUGACCUCGGAUCAGGUAGGGAUACCCGCUGAACUUAAGCAUAUCAAUAAGCGGAGGA